rnacentral:rRNA from 1 species
UACGGAGGGUGCGAGCGUUAUCCGGAUUCACUGGGUUUAAAGGGUGCGUAGGUGGGCUGUUAAGUCAGUGGUGAAAUCUCCGGGCUCAACCCGGAAACUGCCAUUGAUACUAUCAGUCUUGAAUAUCGUUGAGGUAAGCGGAAUAUGUCAUGUAGCGGUGAAAUGCUUAGAUAUGACAUAGAACACCAAUUGCGAAGGCAGCUUGCUAACCGAAUAUUGACACUGAGGCACGAAAGCGUGGGGAUCAAACAGG